rnacentral:rRNA from 1 species
UACGGGGGGGGCAAGCGUUGUUCGGAAUUACUGGGCGUAAAGCGCACGUAGGCGGUUAUUCAAGUCAGAGGUGAAAGCCCGGGGCUCAACUCCGGAACUGCCUUUGAAACUAGAUAGCUUGAAUCCAGGAGAGGUGAGUGGAAUUCCGAGUGUAGAGGUGAAAUUCGUAGAUAUUCGGAAGAACACCAGUGGCGAAGGCGGCUCACUGGACUGGUAUUGACGCUGAGGUGCGAAAGCGUGGGGAGCAGACAGG